AUAGGUGUGCUGGCUGCAGCCACUUCCCUCACCCACACUUUAUCUCUCACUCUCCAGCCGCUGACAGCCCAUUUUAUUGUCAAUCUCUGUCUUCUUCCCAGGAAUCUGAGAAUUGCUCUCACACACCAACCCAGCAACAUCCGUGGAGAAAACUCUCACCAGCAACUCCUUUAAAACACCGUCAUUUCAAACCAUUGUGGUCUUCAAGCAACAACAGCAGCACAAAAAACCCCAACCAAACAAAACUCUUGACAGAAGCUGUGACAACCAGAAAGGAUGCCUCAUAAAGGGGGAAGACUUUAACUAGGGGUGCGCAGAUGUGUGAGGCCUUUUAUUGUGAGAGUGGACAGACAUCCGAGAUUUCAGAGCCCCAUAUUCGAGCCCCGUGGAAUCCCGCGGCCCCCAGCCAGAGCCAGCAUGCAGAACAGUAAGUGCCUCUGGUCUUUCUGGGACUUCGGGCUCGGGGUGCGCGGACCCGAGGGUCA
rnacentral:sRNA from 1 species